GCGCUGGUAGUUUAAGGGUAGAAUUCGAGCUUCCCAUCGGAUGUCUGCUCGAGGGUGAGCACAUCUACCGCCUUUCGUCCGUUGUACACAUACUAACACAUGACAGACCGAGUUCGAGUCUCGGCCAGCGCA